UGCACUGGCGCACGGGUGAGUAACGCGUAGGUUAUCUGCCCUUAUCCCUGACAUAACAUCGAGAAAUUGGUGCUAAUAUCAGAUGAGGCCUUUAGGUCAAAGUAGCAAUACGGAUAGGGAUGAGACUGCGUCUGAUUAGCUAGUUGGUAAGGUAAUGGCUUACCAAGGCAACGAUCAGUAGCUGGUCUGAGAGGACGAUCAGCCACACUGGAACUGAGACACGGUCCAGACUCCUACGGGAGGCAGCAGUGAGGAAUUUUGCACAAUGGGGGCAACCCUGAUGCAGCGACGCCGCGUGCGGGAUGAAGGAGCUUUGCUCUGUAAACCGCUGUCGAAUGGGAAGAAAAGUCUCCCUUGGGGACUGGGACUGUACCAUUAAAGGAAGCACCGGCUAACUACGUGCCAGCAGCCGCGGUAAUACGUAGGGUGCGAGCGUUGUCCGGAAUUACUGGGUGUAAAGGGUGCGCAGGCGGGUCUGUGCGUCGGAGGUUAAAGACCUCGGCUUAACCGAGGAAGUGCCUUCGAAACGGCAGAUCUUGAAUGUGAGAGAGGAUGAUAGAAUUCCUGGUGUAGCGGUGAAAUGCGUAGAUAUCAGGAGGAAUACCGGUGGCGAAGGCGGUCAUCUGGCUCACUAUUGACGCUCAGGCACGAAAGCGUGGGGAGCGAACAGGAUUAGAUACCCUGGUAGUCCACGCCCUAAACGAUGUAUGCUUGGUGUUGGGGACUUGAUCUCCAGUGCCGAAGAAACCCGAUAAGCAUACCACCUGGGGAGUACGAUCGCAAGGUUGAAACUCAAAGGAAUUGACGGGGGCCCGCACAAGCGGUGGAUCAUGUGGUUUAUUCGAUGCAACGCGCAGAACCUUACCAGGGU
rnacentral:rRNA from 1 species